rnacentral:lncRNA from 1 species
UCAUGUUCAGAGAUUUAGACCAUCAUGUAGUUUUGUAGCUGACAGGCAAAGAAAGCUACAAUUUUAUGAUAUUCUAGAUUACAUACAAUGAGACACUAACAGUCGGCUGCUCUUUAAUAUGAACCAUGCAAAAACCUCACAUUCUUAAGUUCUUUUCGCUGGAAAAUUCUUGAGGCAGAGAAAUUUCAGAAUCAUGCAUCAGUCUUCGGUCAAACUGAAUUACUACUAUAGUUCAUCAGUUUUCAUUCUGAAAUGCCUAUAUCCUGCAUUGUUACAUUCGUGUUUGGCUAAAAGUUUAUGUUUUUGCAUGUGAUUUACCUUUCCAUUAGGUCUCGAUCUUGUUCAGUGUGAAUAUUUGUGACUUGGGUGUAAUAAUGGUGUUUAUAAGUGUAGAAACCUACAUGAAGUGAAGGGGAGGCUUGGAGCAACGGUAAAGCUGUCUCCGUAUGUCCUAUAGGUUGCGAGUUCGAAUUGUGAAAGCAAUCACUAAUGCUUGCGUUAGAAUAGACUGUUAUCUGGCUACAUCACACUCUCUUGGGGUGUGGUCAUUCUCCAUACUUUGCGUGAAAGCGAGAUGCCUUACACAUCAGGUUGCUCUGUUUUAAGCUUAUCAAAAGUGAUUUGUAAAGGUUGCAUGCAGUGAAUGCAUAUUGUAUUGAAAUGGAUAAUGAGAAUUACAUACACAUAUAUAAGAUAUAAUGAUCCGACAUGUCGUUUUACUUUAUA